rnacentral:rRNA from 1 species
GGGGAAUAUUGGACAAUGGGCGCAAGCCUGAUCCAGCCAUGCCGCGUGAGUGAUGAAGGCCUUAGGGUUGUAAAGCUCUUUCAGUGGGGAAGAUAAUGACGGUACCCACAGAAGAAGCCCCGGCUAACUUCGUGCCAGCAGCCGCGGUAAUACGAAGGGGGCUAGCGUUGUUCGGAUUUACUGGGCGUAAAGCGCACGUAGGCGGAUUGGUCAGUUAGGGGUGAAAUCCUGGAGCUCAACUCAAGAACUGCCCUUAAUACUGCCAGUCUCGAGUCCGGAAGAGGUAAGUGGAACUCCUAGUGUAGAGGUGGAAUUCGUAGAUAUUAGGAAGAACACCAGUGGCGAAGGCGGCUUACUGGCCCGGCACUGACGCUGAGGUGCGAAAGCGUGGGGAGCAAAC